rnacentral:sRNA from 1 species
CUGCGUUAGGGAUAGCAGCGGAAAUCCUUUUUGUGAGGUACGAAUAAAAAGAUUGCAGCGUAUAGCCCGACCUCCC